AGUGAACGCUGGCGGUAGGCCUAACACAUGCAAGUCGAACGGCAGCACAGUAAGAGCUUGCUCUUACGGGUGGCGAGUGGCGGACGGGUGAGGAAUACAUCGGAAUCUACUUUUUCGUGGGGGAUAACGUAGGUAAACUUACGCUAAUACCGCAUACGACCCACGGGUGAAAGCAGGGGAUCUUCGGACCUUGCGCGACUGAAUGAGCCGAUGUUGGAUUUGCUAGUUGGCGGGGUAAAGGCCCACCAAGGCGACGAUCCGUAGCUGGUCUGAGAGGAUGAUCAGCCACACUGGAACUGGGCCACGGUCCAGACUCCUGCGGGAGGCAGCAGUGGGGAAUAUUAGGCAAUGGGGGCAAGCCUGAUCCAGCCAUACCGCGUGGGUGAAGAAGGCCUUCGGGUUGUAAAGCCCUUUUGUUGGGAAAGAAAAGCAGCAGGUUAAUACCCCGCUGUUCUGACGGUACCCAAAGAAUAAGCACCGGCUAACUUCGUG
rnacentral:rRNA from 1 species